AUUGAACGCUGGCGGCAGGCCUAACACAUGCAAGUCGAACGAGUGGCGGACGGGUGAGUAAUGUCUGGGAAACUGCCUGAUGGAGGGGGAUAACUACUAGAAACGGUAGCUUAUACCGCAUACCAUCGGAUGUGCCCAUAUGGGAUUAGCUAGUAGGUGGGGUAAAGGCUCAACUAGGCGACGAUCCCUAGCUGGUCUGAGAGGAUGAUCAGCCACACUGGGACUGAGACACGGCCCAGACUCCUACGGGAGGCAGCAGUGGGGAAUAUUGCACAAGGGGCGCAAGCCUGAUGCAGCCAUGCCGCGUGUAUGAAGAAGGCCUUAGGGUUGUAAAGUACUGUCAGCGGGGAGGCGUUACCGGCAGAAGAAGCACCGGCUAACUCCGUGCCAGCAGCCGCGGUAAUAC
rnacentral:rRNA from 1 species